rnacentral:rRNA from 1 species
GGAAAGAUGAAAAGAACUUUGAAAAGAGAGUUAAAAAGUACGUGAAAUUGUUGAAAGGGAAACGUUUGAAGUUAGUGGAACUGGUACAAAAUCAGCUUACGCAUUAAGGCAAUUAGCGCAUUGGCGAGCCUAAAAACCGCCAUAGUCGAUAUUCAAUUACUCGUGUGGGGUGCACUUUUGUAUCGGCUGGUUAACAUCAAUUUUGACUGUCAUAAAAAGGCUAAAGGGAAUCGGGCUCCUUUGGGAGUGUGAUAAACUUUAAGCGGAAUAUGGUGGUCGGGAUUGAGGAUUGCAACGAAUACCUUUAGGGCUGCUCAAACUGGUCUGAUCGCCCCACUUUAGUUAUCAUAUAUAUGGUGUGUUCCGCCAAUUAUAGGGGUGGUUAGUCAGGUGGUGCAAAUUCGUUAAGGAUGUUAACGAAAUGGCUUUAAACGACCCCGUCUUGAAACACGGACCA